rnacentral:pre_miRNA from 14 species
UUCUGUAAGGCAAAGGACUGAAAGAUCCCCGAAGGGAGACCCUUACUCAAGUCUCGAGAAAUCUCGGACCUCAGACACAGAGAGACCA